GUUGUACUUCUGAAGGCAUCCAAUAAAAUUGAGACGAUAUAGAGAAGAUUAGCAUGGCUCAUGCGCAAGGAUGACACGCACAAAUCAAGAAAUGAUUGAAGUCUUU